AUUGAACGCUGGCGGCAGGCCUAACACAUGCAAGUCGAGGGUAGCGGCGGACGGGUGAGUAAUGGAUGGGUAACCUGCCCUCCUUUUUGGGAUAAGCCUUGGAAAGGGGGUCUAAUACCGAAUAAAGGGGGAUGGGCUCGCGGCCUAUCAGCUGGUUGGUGGGGUGAUGGCCUACCAAGGCGGUGACGGGUCGCAGGCCUGGGAGGGUGACCGGAAACAUUGGGAGGGCGAUACGGCUACGACACGUACGAGUGGCAGCAGUUGGGGAUUGGGCACAAUGGGCGAAAGCCUGAGGCAGGGACGCCGAGUGGGGGAUGGAGGUUUUCGGGUUGUAAACCUCGGUCGAUAUCGAACGGGUAGGUGGAGAAGAAGCGCCGGCUAACUACGUGCCAGCAGCCGCGGUAAUUC
rnacentral:rRNA from 1 species